AAGACCCCAACCCAAACGGCGCCCCCUCUUCACACGCCUCUGCCCUCCUCUAAACUCGCCGGAACUCGUCCAAACCCGACGAGUUCACUCGUUGGUUCCCCCAUGGUCCCCCCUCCCCUAUCAUCUCCCUCUUCCACGUCGCACACUCCGUACAAGCCUCAUCAUAUCCAUUAGAUUCACGCGUUUUCCUUUCUUUUUCAUUCGAUUUGAAGCAAAUCCAAGACCCUUGAAUAAAUCUUGGAGAAAUGGGAACCAUUAGAUGAAGGUUUUUGUCCAAAGUCUCCAUUUUUCCGAUUUUUCUUUGUGAAAAGGGAUUUUCGGAAUUUAUUUGAGGGCAAAUUCGGGUUUUGGGGGGUUUUUUGUUGAAGAAGGAGAGAAGUUUCGAGAAAGAGCUAUAUAUCUGAGGUUUUUGGACAGAAUUUUUGGGGACAGAAAAGAUAGAGGAAAAUUAGGGUUCUGAGGUUUUCUUCUCUUCUAUUUCAGCUUCUUGGAGGACAAAACAACAACAAAAAAAACAUAUAUUUCAGUAUUCUAGUUUUUUCUUUUCAAUUUCGAUUUUCUUCUAGUUUUGUUAUGGAGUACAUUUGAAUUUCGGAGUUUUGCUUCUUCUGAUUUCAAUGGAAAUCGAUUCAAUUCUGCUCGUAUGGAGCUCGAUUGAGUCCGACCUUUGUUUUCAAUUUUGCUUCUGAGUUCUACUCGAGAUUUAGCUGUGAGGCGUCGUCCAAAGUUUAAGGCCGUGAUUCUUGGUCCAGUUUUUGUCCCUGUACCCGCUCGAUUUCAACUCAUUGGCAGAUUUCUUUGUUUGUACAUUCAAGGUUGAAGUUAUUGAAAAUUUUCAAUUUAGGUUUCUUUCUGAUUCUUUUCUUUGUUUUGGUACUGAUUCGAAGUAUGAUAAAAGCCCUAGGAGUCAAAAUAGGCUCAUAACUCUGAAUCUAGUUAACAUUUUUCAGAGAUGAACAAUGAAAUCUGAAUGCUAGUAGACGUGGUUUUCAUAUAGUAUCACAUUUGUAUGAAUCGUCUCCCACUACAUGUGUUCUGCUUUACUCCUGGUAUUUAAAUGCUCUCUGAUUUUUCCUCUGCCUGGCUCCGACAUGCUUAGUUGAAGUUUGAUCCGAUUGCGUGAUAAUUUGAACCGAUUGGUGAAGAUUUUUAUAUUCUUAAGUUUAAAUGAACUCGAAAAUAUACUGCCUCGCUAUUAAGGUUUUCAUCUUGUCCUUCUAUGCUUGUUGAUGAUAGCAUUAGAUUGAUUCACCUGAAGUUCUGUUUGAUUACUGAACGCUGAAAGUUGAUUCAUGGUGGUUUAAGUUGAUUUUAUUCCUAUCAGUUUAGGCGUGGGAUGAGUAUUGAAAUUUCUCUGGUCUUGCUUGGGGUUCCCCAUUAGUCUUUUAAUUGUCUUUGUUAAGAAUUGAGUGCUCAAUCCAUAUCCUGGAAGUAUUUUGAAAUCACUAUUUGAAGCUAUCUAUGUCACUAUAUUUCAUUGUUUAUGCUUGGGUGUAAGUUGUUGAACUCCAUUGAAGCAUGAUAGAUUCAUUGUCAAGUAGAGUAGGAUACUGAAUUAAAAAUUGGAGACAAGAAGUUCAUGUGGUGGUAUUGCUUUAACCUUUAAAGUUAGCUUGUAGUUAGUGUCGUGCCUCGAUUGAUUUUGAUAGGAAAAAUAUUUUGGAUUCUUGUCCAUUUUUAAAAGUACCACGUUUAAGUGCCAUAAUCUUGAAUAUUAAUCGGAUUGAUGAUUUCUUAUGCUUGGCAAUACAGUUUUCUUUUGGUUUCAAUGCAUUGCUAUUUCAUUAUUCGGAUUCAAAAUAUUUGAGUCGAAAUCAUCUGGAUAAGAUUAACGUGUUAUCUGAUUUGCCUUUUCUGAGAUUCCAAACUAUGGGUUUAAGAAUAAGAUUAAUUGGGUGAUAUCAGUAAGCUUUAGAUGGCUCCUGUCAUGCCUUGAUCUACCGUUUCUUGACUUAUUUGAUUUUUCUGUUUUGUUAGAUUGUUAUUUUUCCCUCCUCCUCUAUGUGUUUUCUAUGUUGAGUACUAUCUUUGUGUGUGUAAAUAAUUGGAGUAAGUCAUUUUGGACGAUUGAUUUAUGGGGGGUCGUGUGGUAAUGAGUUUAAGAAGUUUAAAAAGAAAAUAUGCAUGCCGUUAAUUCAUCCUUACUUAGCUUUCUUUUAUCUUAUUUUUAUUAUCCUAUUGUUUUGGGCGUUAAGAGCAUGUUUUAGGCCGACCACACUUGGGUAGGCAAGUCUUUAGGAUUUCUGUUAAUUUUGAGGCGAGAGGUCGUUCCCUUAGUUAAAUUUAUCUGGGGAAUGCUCCGAAUGACUUGUAUAUAUUUUAUUCCGGGAAAGCCCCGUAGUACUUGUAUUUAGAGCUUGCAAUAUUUUAUUUUUAUUUUUAUUAGGUGGGUACGACCUCGAGUCUUUUUGUGUGUUUAUUUUUCUAUGAUUGUUUUACCUCAAUUCAAAUAUUCUAAAAGCCAACUAGAUCGAGUGUGCAACCGUACUAGUUACGGGACUUGGGGAGUGCCUAACACCUUCUCCUUGAGUCAAAUGAACCCUCUUACCCAAAUCUCUAGUGCGGACUUAGUUUUGGAGUCUAAAGUGUUUUAAAAAAAAAUCAUUUUUAAGAAUGGUGACCUGACACACCGAAACCAAUGUCAGGUGGCGACUCUGAGUUAUUUCCUUUUGAACACAAAUUUUUGUCACUUUCAAAAUUAAAAACCCUUUCGAGCUUUGCGAAAUCUUUUUAUUUAUAAUAAGAGGGUUAAGUUAAGUGGUUAAAAAAAGGGUGUGACAGCUCUAGCGACUCUGCUGAGGACUUGCAGGUUCGAGUUGGUACUUGAUCUUGUUGGCUUUUAGGAUAUUCAGUUGAGGUGUUUGUUUUCUUUAUUUGCUUUAUUUAUUUGCUUUGUUUGUCUUAUUUCCUUGUUUUGUUGGUUAUUUGUUUAUCUCUUUUCUUAAUGUGUUACUAUUUUAUACACUGUCAUCAUUUGCAUAACCAUGGGUCUUCUUUCUGCAACAAGUCUCGGAGUACACGUCGCAUGCACGAACUCUUUGUUGAGUCACCCUUAAAUAGGAGGGGGGCCGUCGGACGUAUGGAGUGGGUGAAAAGCUUAAGCAGCCACCAUCGACCAUACGCUCCCCCGAAUUGCCUUGUUAGUGAACCCCAAACUUAGGUCAUCAUUUAAGUCAUUUUUAUUUGCAUCAUGUCAUUUAAACCUAGCAGGGUUCGGUCCCAGGAACCGUGUCCCGUCGUAGGAGACCUAUCCAAAUUAUGUCAAAAUGGUCCCGUAGCCCAAAAUGACAUUCAAUCAUCCUAUGUUCCUUAAUGUUGCAUUUGUGAGGGUAGAAAGGUCAUUUGGCGAACCGAUUCUUGGGAAAAAAGGGUGAAAGACGAAGCAAGUAGGGCCCAGUUAUAUUUUUCUUUCGCUACUUUUUCAAAAAAAAAAGAGAAAAAUAAAAUGAAAAAUCCAAAAAGAUUUUACACUUUUUCAUCAUUUUCCAAAAGUUCAAAAAUCAAAAAAAGAAAAUCCAAAAAGAUUUUACAUUUUCUAUCAUUUUUUUUUCAAAAAAAAGACAAAAAUAUAGUUUUUUUCUUCAAAUUAGAUGCAUUUUUAAAAAAAAUUCUAUCAUGUAUCCAAUCUUUCCGAACUAUGCGAACCUAAUUCUCAUCUUUCGGAGCGGGAUACGUAGGCAACCUACAUCGGGUUCGAUCAAAUCAUUUUGGUCCAAAAAAAAGAAGGAAAAAAGAGAAAAGAGUGAUAAGAGGUGUUGGAAAAGAAAGAGAAGGAAGUAUUGAAAUGAGCAAAUUGGGAUGAGGCCAUAUGACCCUGCGACCCUCAAAGCCAUUUUAGAACCGUUAAUUAUUGCUAGGUGCAUUGCAUGUAAUGUGAUAUUAUUAUUUGAUAAAUGCCCUAACGCUAACAUGGUGGUUUUGUGUUGUUGUCCUCUAUUAUUUUUAUUUAAAUUCAGGAAGGUGGUUAGUUUGUUGGCAUCCUGGCAAGUCAUCCAUACAACACCCGAUCAAAGCAUCAAACAGUCAUGGCUAGCAAGGAAACAUACACUAGAGUUGUAGACCCACCAAGGGAGAUUGUUGAGUCGGAAUCGGAACUACAAGAGGAGGUCCGGAGGUUGAAGCAUCAGAUGGCGGAAAUGUAUCACGCUUGGAUUAAGGGACACCCUCCACCCUCGUUCCCUACCAACUACACAGAAAACCCUACUUCCAUUCCACCACUCUCUCAGUCCCAGAUGCCCAAUACCAUUGAUCUUUCCCACAACACCACAACUGCCCCGGUACUUCGGCCCAAACGUUUCAUGCUCCACCAGCCAAACCAACCUCGUACCCUGCUCUGACAUCUGCUCCUAUUUUUGUACCCCCUCCAUAAGCUACCAUCCACCGAUCCUCUAGUGAGCCUGCAUUCCCCGCUCUAGAUACCCACUGCUAUGCACCGGAUCCCACAUUCAAAGUCCCAGAUCCUUACUCUUACACUCCCCAAUUUGAGCCUCAUGUUGAACUGACAAACCACCCAAGAAUGCAGAGCAAGAGGAGAUGUUUAGGAAGGUAAAGAGUCUGGAGCAAUCAUUGAGAAAUAUGCAAGGGUUGGGAAACCAGGUGAGUGUGGCCUAUAAGUAUUUGUGUUUGUUUCCCGAUGUCCAAUUGUCUGCCAGGUUCAAGAUGCCCAAGUUUGACUUGUAUGACGGACAUGGAGAUCCUGUAGCUCAUCUAAGGGGUUAUUGCAAUAAAAUGAUAGGCGCCAGGGGAAAAGACGAAUUACUAAUGGCAUACUUCAGCCAAAGUCUGAGUGGGACAACUUUAGAAUGGUACACCCGCUAGGAUGCCAACAGGUGGUACACCUGGGACGAUAUGGCUCAGGCCUUCGCCCGACACUUCCAAUAUAAUUUAGACAUUGUUCUAGACCUCCUAUAUCUGACCAAGGUGGAAAAGAAACCCAGUGAAAGAUUUAGAGAAUAUGGGUUCCGAUGGAGGGAGCAAGUUGCACGAGUCAAUCCUCCGAUGGAAGAAGACGAGAUGAUUGAAUACUUUCUUCAAGCCCCGGAGCCCACUUACUAUGGCCAUCUGAUCUCAGCCAUUGGUAAGUCUUUUAAUGAUGUGGUUAAGAUGGGAGAAAUAGUGGAAGAGGGGCUCAAGUUGAGCAAGAUCAUGAGCUAUUCUGCUAUAAAAGCAACCACCCAGGCAAUCCAGAGUGGUACCGGAAGUUUGCUAGGCAAGAAGAAGAAGGGCGAUGUCACCAUGGUUGUCUCUGGACCAUGGCAUGGCCAAAGGGGGUUCACCUUAUUAGUACACCCAUCCUCGACCUCGACCUCAACCUAUGCCCAAGCUCCAUAUAAUCCACCCCAACAUUACUUUCCCCUGCAAAACCCCCAAUACUCAGCCAGGCCACCCCAAUACCAAGUUCACCACGCCCAGUCAUACACUCAACCUCCAUCUUACCUGCAAUGGCGUGCCCCAGCCCAACAGAAUACUUACCCGGUUCCACAAAAUACCUACCCACCUCCAUAACCCUACCAAAACCCCAAUGGCUCAAAUUUUCGACCAAGGUCGGAGUAUAGAAGAAAGAGGCAGCAACGGAAACAAACUUUUACCCCGCUUGGAGAGUCCUAUGCUAGUCUGUUUCAAAGGUUAAGGCAAUUGGACGUCUUGAGGUCGAUCGAGUUAAAGAUACUAAAUCCCCCUCCAAAGAACCUCGAUUAUUACCUAAGAUGUGCCUAUUGUUCUGAUGCUCCAGGGCAUGACAUAGAGAAGUGUUGGCGUUUGAAUAUGGCAAUCCAGGAGCUCAUUGAUACAAACCAAAUUGUAGUCCAAAGCCUAGACACGCCAAAAAUCAACCAAAACCCUUUUCCAGCCCAUGCAGAGAUGCAUAUGAUUGAAAUAGUUCACAAGGAUGGGGAGACCAAGAAGUCUUCUAAGUCUGUCAUGAUGAUUCGGGCCAGUGAAAGUAAUUUAGUUAAAGCUCCAGACUCUACCAAAGCAAAGCCCUUGAUAGUUGGAGGGGCGACAGAAAAGCCGAGCUCACCCAAUUUGAAAUCGCCGGUGUUGGUCAAGAAAGGGCUGUCGAAAGAUAUUGGGGCAAGUCCUGAAAGUUCAAAAGUGGUAGUGCCAGGGAUUCCAAGUAAGCCUGUCAUAGUUGUGAAGGGGGUUCCUAUCACCCCUAUCAUCAUUAAACCAGUGACCCAGCUGCCAGUGGUUGAUGCCAAAGCUGUUCCGUGGAAUUACAAACAAGUGAUAGUGACAUACAAAGCAAAAUAAAUAGAGGAAGAAGUUAAUGAAAUUGGAGGAUUGACUCGUUCUGGGAGGUGUUUCACCUCAGAAGAAUUAAGGAAAGCCAAGUCAUUCAAGGAUAGCCAAAUGCCAGUAAAACAAUCGGUCACCGAAGAAGAGGCUGAAGAGUUCCUAAAAAAGAUGAAGGUGCAUGAUUAUUCCAUUGUGGAGAAGUUAAGGAAAACACCAGCUCAGAUUUCUCUUUUAUCUUUGCUGAUACAUUCGGAUGAACAUCGCAGGGUCUUGAUGAAGAUUUUGAAUGAGGCACAUGUUCCUGAUAAGAUCACAGUGAAUCACUUAGAAAAGAUAGCUAGCAAGAUCUUUGAAGUAAACAAGAUCACUUUCUCAGAUGAUGAACUUCCUAUGGAGGGUACAAAUCACAACCGAGCUCUUUAUCUCACGGUGAAGUGCAAAGAUUAUGUUGUCUCAAGGGUUUUGGUUGACAAUGGCUCUAGUGCGAAUAUUUCUCCCAUGUCUACUCUGCAAAAAUUAAAGAUUGGCACCGAAAGAAUCCAGAUGAACAAUGUGUGUGUUUGAGGCUUUGAUAGGGGAGGUAAAGAUUCUGUUGGAGAUAUAAUGCUCGAAUUAUCGAUAAGGCCAGUUGAGUUCACCAUGGAAUUCCAAAUGUUAGAUGUGGCUGUCUCCUACAAUCUGUUGUUGGGAAGGCCCUGGAUACAUGCGGCUAAGGCAGUCCCGUCUUCUCUCCACCAAAUGGUGAAGUUCUAAUGGGAUAGGCAGGAAAUAGUUGUGCACGGUGAUGAGGACGUGUCAGCUUGUAAUGACACAAUUGUUUCGUUUAUCGAAGCUGAAGAUGAUAAGGAACCUUGGGUCUAUCAAACUUUCGAAACAGUGUCUGUUGAGAAGAUUCCUGAAGGAAAAUGCAUUCUGGGUCCUAAGCUAUCCUCUGGGUCUAUCAUGGUAGCGAAUGAAAUGUUGAAGAACGAUUUUAUGUCGGGUAAGGGUCUGGGCUCAUCUAUGCAGGGUAUUGUGCAUCUACUGCGCCCCAGUGGGAAUCCUGGUACAUUUGGUUUGGGAUUCAUGGCCAUAGAGAAGGACGUGAAAAGGGUUAAAAAUCUAAAACAGAAGGUAUGGUCACUCCCCAAGCCUGUCCCACACAUCUCUAAGUUUUUUGUCAAGCCAGGAGCCGAAAAGCCUCUAACCUCGUCGAUCCAAAAACCUACGGUCGAUGUUUAUGAAGAGCUGGUCAAGAGGUUCCAAAGUCUGUUCGAUGAGGUCAAUAUGGUAGAAGUUGGUGAAGGCUCUAGUAAAGCAGAUGUGCGGCUCGUUGGCCCAAACGUGAAGCUUAGCAAUUGGGAAGCUACUCCUCUCCCCUACAGGAAGGAGUUUUGGUAGUUUUCUUUGUUUUCAUUUCUGUUAUCUGGGUUAUUCCAGGGUUGUAAUCCAAAUUUUUAGUUUUUGCUUGUUUUGAUGUUCAAACCCUUCUCUCCUUUUAUUUUCAAUGAAAUGCNNNNNNNNNNNNNNNNNNNNNNNNNNNNNNNNNNNNNNNNNNNNNNNNNNNNNNNNNNNNNNNNNNNNNNNNNNNNNNNNNNNNNNNNNNNNNNNNNNNNNNNNNNNNNNNNNNNNNNNNNNNNNNNNNNNNNNNNNNNNNNNNNNNNNNNNNNNNNNNNNNNNNNNNNNNNNNNNNNNNNNNNNNNNNNNNNNNNNNNNNNNNNNNNNNNNNNNNNNNNNNNNNNNNNNNNNNNNNNNNNNNNNNNNNNNNNNNNNNNNNNNNNNNNNNNNNNNNNNNNNNNNNNNNNNNNNNNNNNNNNNNNNNNNNNNNNNNNNNNNNNNNNNNNNNNNNNNNNNNNNNNNNNNNNNNNNNNNNNNNNNNNNNNNNNNNNNNNNNNNNNNNNNNNNNNNNNNNNNNNNNNNNNNNNNNNNNNNNNNNNNNNNNNNNNNNNNNNNNNNNNNNNNNNNNNNNNNNNNNNNNNNNNNNNNNNNNNNNNNNNNNNNNNNNNNNNNNNNNNNNNNNNNNNNNNNNNNNNNNNNNNNNNNNNNNNNNNNNNNNNNNNNNNNNNNNNNNNNNNNNNNNNNNNNNNNNNNNNNNNNNNNNNNNNNNNNNNNNNNNNNNNNNNAUUUUCUAUUGCCGAAUAUUCACAUUCUGAUCGAUAAUUGUGCCAAGCAUGAGAUUGGGUCUUUUGUGGAUUGUUACACGGGAUAUCACCAGAUCUUGAUGGAUGAGGAAGAUUCAGAAAAGACAGCAUUCAUCACGCCAUGGGGAACAUAUUGUUAUAGGGUAAUGCCAUUUGGUUUGAAAAAUGCUAGGGCAACUUACAUAAGGGCGAUGACCACCAUAUUUCAUGACAUGAUACAUAAGGAGAUUGAGGUUUAUGUAGAUGAAGUGAUCAUAAAGUCAAAGAAGCAGUUUGACAAUGUCAAGGACUUGAGGAAGUUUUUCCAAAGGCUCUGCAGGUAUAACCUCAAGCUCAAUCCAGCAAAAUGUGCAUUUGGUGUCCCAUCUAUGAAACUGCUGGGAUUCGUGGUCAGUCGACGUGGUAUUGAGUUGGAUCCGUCAAAGAUCAAAGCCAUCCAAGAGUUACCGCCACCAAAGAACAGAACUGAGGUGAUGAGUUUGCUUGGAAGGUUAAAUUAUAUCAGCAAGUUCAUUGCUCAGCUCACGACAACCUGUGAACCCAUUUUUAAGUUGUUGAAGAAGAAUGUUGCAGUCAAGUGGACUGACGAGUGUCAAAAAGCAUUUGAUAAGAUUAAGAGGUACCUGUCGAACCCACCUGUGUUGGUCCCACCAGAGCCUGGAAGACCUUUAAUUCUCUAUUUGACAGUCCUGGAUAAUUCUUUUGGUUAUGUAUUGGGUCAACAUGACAUCACGGGAAAGAAAGAGCAAGCAAUCUAUUAUCUCAGUAAGAAGUUCACUCCCUAUGAGGUUAAGUACACUUUGCUUGAGAGGACAUGUUGCGCCCUGACUUGGGUAGCACAAAAGUUGAAGCAUUAUCUUUCGUCCUACACUACUUACCUCAUUUCUCGCAUGGAUCCCCUGAAGUAUAUCUUUUAGAAGCCUAUGCCCACGGGAAGACUUGCAAAGUGGCAGAUUUUACUUACAUAGUUUGACAUCAUCUAUGUGACCCAGACCGCAAUGAAAGCCCAAGCCUUGGCUGACCAGUUGGCUGAGAUUCCGGUAGAUGAUGAAUAUGAGCCACUGAAGACUUAUUUUCCUGAUGAAGAGGUCAUAUGUGCUGAUGAGGUUGACCGUGAUGAAAAUCCAGGUUGGAAACUCUUCUUUGAUAGAGCUGCUAACAUGAAAGGUGUCAGAAUAUGGGUUGUACUUAGCUCUGAAACAUGGCAAUACUACCCUGUAACAGCCCAACUUCAAUUUUAUUACACCAACAACAUGACCGAGUACGAAGCAUGCAUUCUAGGUUUGAGGUUAGCUGUAGAUAUAUGAGUCCAGGAAAUAUUGGUUAUGGGAGAUUCAGAUUUGUUGGUUCAUCAGAUUCAAGGAGAAUGGGAAACUCGGGACUUGAAGCUUAUAUCGUACCGACAGUGUGUGCAUGAUCUUUGUCAACAAUUCAGGUCGGUAGAAUUUAGACAUAUUCCCAGGAUUGACAAUGAUAUUGCCGAUGUUUUGGCUACUCUGUCAUCAAUGUUACAUCAUCCGGACAAGACUUAUGUCGACCCUGUACAUAUCCAAGUUCAUGAUCAACAUGCUUAUUGUAAUAUGGUUGAAGAGGAAAUCGAUGGCGAGCCUUGGUUCCAUGAUAUCAAGGAAUACAUCAAGUCGAGGGCAUAUAUAGUACAUGCCACAUGUGAUCAAAAGAAAACCAUUCGACGUCUGGCUAGUGAAUUUUUCUUGAGUGGAGGAAUCUUGUACAAGAGGACUCCAGAUUUAGGACUGCUGAGGUGCAUAGAUGCUAAAGAAGCUUCAACUAUCAUGGCUAAAGUGCAUUAUGGAGUUUGCGCCCGCAUAUGAAUGUGUAUGUCUUGGCAAAGAAGAUGCUUCAAGUAGGUUAUUAUUAGCUCACCAUGGAACGAGAUUGCAUCAGCUUUGUUCGCAAAUGUCAUCAAUGUCAGGUACAUGGUGAUUUGAUUCAUUCUCCCCCAUCUGAGUUACAUACAAUGUCUGCACCUUGGCCCUUUGUUGCUUAGGGCAUGGACAUCAUUGGACCGAUUGAGCCGGCAGCGUCAAACAGGCAUAAGUUUAUUCUGGUGGCCAUUGAUUACUUUACCAAGUGGGUCAAAGCUGUAACUUUCAAGUCCGUGACCAAGAAGGAAGUGGUAGAUUUUGUUCAUUCGAAUAUCAUUUGUCGGUUCGGAAUUCCCAAGGUGAUCAUCACAGACAAUGCUGCUAAUCUCAACAGUCAUUUGAUGAAAGAGGUAUGCCAACGGUUCAAGAUUACACAUCGGAACUCCACUCCGUAUCGCCCUAAGGCAAAUGGAUCUAUUGAGGCUGCCAAUAAGAACAUAAAGAAGAUACUUCGUAAGAUGGUUCAAGGUUCUAGGCAGUGGCAUGAAAAGUUGCCUUUUGCCUUACUGGGUUAUCGCACUAUUGUUCGCACUUCAGUAGGUGCAACUCCUUAUUUGCUGGUAUAUGGAACUGAGGCAGUUAUACCUGCAGAAGUUGAGAUUCCAUCCCUUCGGAUCGUUGCGGAAGCUGAAAUUGAUGAUGAUGGGUGGGUCAAAACCCGGAUGGAACAGUUAAGUUUGAUUGAUAAGAAAAGAUUGGCUGCAGUAUGUCAUGGUCAAUUGUAUCAGAAGAGAAUGACAAGAGCAUACAACAAAAAAGUGCGUCCUCAGAAAUUCGAAGUGGGCCAGAUGGUAUUGAAACACAUCCUUCCUCAUCAGGCUGAAGUUAAAGGCAAGUUCGCCCUAAACUGGCAGAGGUCGUUCAUAGUGACAAGAGUGUUGCCCAAUGGUGCUUUGUAUUUAACAGAUAUAGAAGACAAAUGUGCAGAUAUGUCUAUCAAUUCUGAUGCGGUCAAGAGGUACUAUGUAUGAGUUCUUUGCUUAUUUUCAGUCGCAUUUUGUACUUGUCAUGUUCAAAGUUGAAAUGGCGAAGGCAUUUUAUUCCGCUACCCAAAUACUUUUAUCCUUUGUUAUCCCUUUUGAGCCUUAUUUAUUUUCCUUCAUACCCCUCUUUUGGAAUCAGCAGCAAAAUUAGAGAAUGAAAAAAUGAUGAAUGAAGGAAAAAUAAGAAAAAUGAAAAAGAAAGAAAAAAAAAGAGAAAAGAAAGAAAUAAAGAAAAAGGAAAAAAGAAAAAAAAAGAAAAAAGAAAAAGAAAAAAGAAAAUAAAAGAAAAGAAAACAACAAAAACAAACAACUUUCUUUUGAACUACGUUCGACCUGAUUCUUUUUAAGGAUACGUAGGCAGCUUACGGUUCGGUCCCAUCAAAAUAAAAAUAAAAAAUUAUCCAGACCUAAAGAAACUGGGGCAGAAGUUUUGGUUUUGAAAAGAUCUCAUUCCAAAAGUUGUAAUUUUGACCCCUUUCAUCUUAAAUUAUUUUGAGCCUUCAUACUACCCUUUCUUUCUAACCCUGUCCAAAAGCUUAUAUUACGGUCCAAAGAAAGACCUUCCGAUCAAUUUUUGAGGAUGCCAAGACAAGCGAGAUAGAGGUAUGAUUUAUAUCAUGGGUAACACUUCGUUCAUGGACACAAAGGAAAAAUGAAUAAAAUAAGAGUGUCUUACUUGAAAACCCUCACGGGCACCGUAAGACGAUGAUGAGCUGAGAGGAAAUUUAAAAUGAGAGAGUAUUAUUGGUGAAAACCCUCGUGGGCACCAUAAGGCAAUGGUAAGUUGAGAGAUGAACAAAGUAGAGAGGCUUCGGUGAAAACCCUUCGGGGCACUGCAAGUCGAAUGAGGCUCGCGACUUCACAGGGGAAUUGGAUCAGUGAAAGCUCGGUUUUUGAAUGUAUGAAGACAUGACAUGAACUGAAAUAUGAUUGGUUGGGCGGAUUAGGCUGAUCAAUCCGAAAUGCAUGUCAUGAUCAUUGGAGCUGGCCGCUUCCCUCAGAUAAGUCUUCUUUUUCCAUUCUUCUUCACAUAGUCAUCUUUGUUCAAAAUUUUCCUUUGUUCCUUGUGUCAAAAAUCAUUUCCCUUUGCUCUUUGAGUCUAUCUUUAUGAGUCUCUUUCAAAUUAGCCCUUGUCAAACUAGCAGGAAAGGAUUUUAAAGCCUACUACCAGCUUCUAAAUUGCACAAAGCGGAGUUCGACCAGGCACAUCACAAUUGACAUGAUUUGGAAUGAGCACUAUGUUGAUAAUUGAAGUUCUGGCGGUAAGGUGAUUCUUGAAUUUUGAGAAAAUACAAAGAUUCAGUAACUUUCAGAAUGAAAUACAGUGCAACAAGUGAGUGUGAGAGAUUCAAGUCAUUCAGAGGUUUUGUGGUCCAGUUCCAAUCAAAAGGUCAAACAACUCCUUGCAGGCCCGAAGCAGCUAAUCAGAAUGAAUCAUGGCAGUGGCAGAAGCAGACGCUCAACAAUGAUGCCACAAACUAACCACCACGUUUUCAAACUAACAAAAUUUUAUUUGUCUGAAACAAGUGCAAGAAAAUUUGUUAAUCCACAGGGACCCUCCCAUGAAGAAGGCAUGGUUUAGGGGCAAGAAAUUCUGUUCAAAGAUCCCCCAAGAAGAGAGCAUGGCUCAGGUAAGUUCAUUCUCGACUUUUCAGGACCCUCCUGGAUAAUAGGAUUUAAUUUUCAAGUUCUCAGGACCCUCCUGAAUAAUGGGAUUCAAUUUAAAAUUUUCAAGACCCUCCUGGAUAAUGAGAUUUAAUUUAUAAUUUUCAAGACCCUCCUGGAUAAUGAGAUUUAAUUUUAAAAGUUCUCAGGACCCUCCUGGAUAAUGAGAUUUAAUUUAAAAUUCUGAGGACCCUCCUAGAUAAUGGGACCCGGUCAAAUUUCAAGACCUUCCUAGAUAACAAGAUUUAGCGUAAGUUCUACCUUUAGGAAAUAUAAUUUAGCUUUAAAGUUGUCACUCUUAAGAUGACAUUUACUUUGAAGUUUUCAGGGCCCUCCUGGAUAAUAUGAUUUAGCUUUUAAAUUCUUAGAUCUCUUUUAGGUAACAUGAUUCGAUUAACACUCACAGAUGUGCCCAGGUUCCAAACUAGGGCAAAAAAUUUCUUUCGUUUCGUCUGUUUUGUUGUAAUGGCAGGCGCCCACCUGGAUAACAAGGGAAUACAAUUCAAGUUUUGGAAAUCAGGCGCCCACCUGGAUAACAAGGGAAUACAAUUCAAGUUUUGGAAAUCAGGCGCCCACCUGGAUAACAAGGGAAUACAAUUCAAGUUUUUGGCAAUCAGGUGCCCACCUGGAUAACAAGGGAAUACAAUUCAAGUUUUUGACAAUCAGGCACCCACCUGGAUAACGAGGGAAUAUAAUUCAAGUUUUGGAGAUCAGGCGCCCACUGGAGAACAAGAGAAUACAAUUUAAGUUUUGGAAAUCAGGCGCCCACCUGGAGAACAAAGGAAUACAUUUCAAGUUUUGGCAAUCAGGCACUCACCUGGAGAACAAGGGAAUUCAUUUAAGAGUUACUUUCAAUUCGCAAAUUCAAGAAGCAUCAGGAGCCCGCAUGAAGAACAGGGUCCAUUUUUCAGUCUCAUGUUGAAGAUCAAGUAGAGAUUCACGGAAGAUUCAAGACAAGAAAUAGAUAGGGUCUUGUAUUUUUCUUUUACUUUUGCUGUAAUAUUUUCCUUUUAUUUUCGAUGUAAUGGCAGGAACCGCAGACCAGAACCUCGACGACACUUCACUCAGCUCUCCACCUCACUCCAUCGCUCUUCUCACUCCGAACUAUACGUGGCCUGAUUCCUUUAUAGCCAAGGAUAUGUAGGCAGCUCAGAUACCAGGGCUCAGUCACAUUCUCUUUUCUUUCAGUUUUUGUCUCUCUAAACAAGGGUCGGGUCAAAAAACAUGUCUUGUUGUUCUUUGCCUGAAAACACUUCGUGUUUCUCGUCAAAGAGGGGCAACUGUAGACAUGUAAUUUUUGACCCCCACAGUUUUUAAAGUUAGUUUUAGUAUUUUAUGUUUUAAAAUAUCUACUUGAGUUAUUAUGUAAUUUUAGCCUACUUUAUUUUAAUUUCAAAUCAUAAAACUAAAAAAAAAGAAAAAAAAAAAGAAGAAGUUUCAAUUUAUCUUAUUAUAUAUGUUUGUUUUUAUUUUUAUUUAUUUAAGUUCAUUAGUAUUUUUAUGGUAGUAUUAUGCUAAGUUUGCCAUGGUUUUUAUAUUUUUAUUUUUAUUUUUAGUAUAAUCCUUGAAAUAAUACAAAAAAUAAUAUAUAUAUAUAGUUUCNNNNNNNNNNNNNNNNNNNNNNNNNGAAGCCCCAUUUUUACACAAGAGGAAGCCCAAAAUCGGACAACCCAAUCCAAGCCCAAUACCCGCCGGCCAACCCAUGACCCGCCCCAUCCUCUAGUGCAAACCCUAGCCUUUGAUUGGAUUUAAUCCAAUGGUCUACAUAUAUCCUCACCAUCAUAUAAAAGCUAAAUAUUUCUCUAACCCUAAACCUAAAGACCCCAACCCAAACGGCGCCCCCUCUUCACACGCCUCUGCCCGCCUCUAAACUCGCCGAAAUUCGUCCAAACCCGGCGAGUUCACUCGUUGGUUCCCCCAUGGUCCCCCCUCUCCUCUCAUUUCCUUCUUCCACGUCACACACUCCGCACAAGCCUCAUCAUAUCCAUUAGAUUCACGCAUUUUCCUUUCUUUUUCGUUCGAUUUGAAGCAAAUCCGAGAUCCUUGAAUAAAUCUUGGAGAAAUGGGAACCGUUGGAUGAAGGUUUUUGUUCAAAGUCUCCAUUUUUUCUGAUUUUCGUUUGUGAAAGGGGAUUUUCGGAAUUUAUUUGAGGGCAAAUUCGGGUUUUGGGGGGUUUCUUGUUGAAGAAGGAGAGAAGUUUCGAGAGAGAGCUAUAUAUUUGAGGUUUUUGGACAGAAUAUUUGGGGACAAAAAAGAUAGGGGAAAAUUAGGGUUCUGAGGUUUUCUUCUCUUCUAUUUCGGCUUCUUGAAGGACAAAACAACAACAAAAAAACCAUAUAUUUCAGUAUUCUCGUUUUUUCUUUUCAAUUUCGAUUUUCUUCUAGUUUUGUUAUGGAGUACAUUUGAAUUUCGGAGUUUUGCUUAUUCUGAUUUCAAUGGAAAUCGAUUCAAUUCUUCUCGUAUGGAGCUCGAUUGAGUCCGACCUUUGUUUUCAAUUUGGCUUCUGAGUUCUACUCGAGAUUUAGCUGUGAGGCGUCGUCCGAGGUUUAAGGCCGUGAUUCUUGGUCCAGUUUUAGUCCCUGUAGCCGCUCGAUUUCAACUCAUUGGCAGAUUUCUUUGUUUGUACAUUCAAGGUUUAGUUAUUGAAAAUUUUCAAUUCAGGUUCCUUUCUGAUUCUUUUUCUUUAUUUUGGUACUGAUUCGAAGUAUGAUAAGAGCCUUAGUAGUCAAAAUAGGCUUAUAACUCUAAAUCUAGUUAACAUGUUUUAGAGAUGAACAAUGGAAUCUGAAUGCUAGUAGACGUGGUUUUCAUAUAGUAUCACAUUUGUAUGAAUCAUCUCCUACUACAUGUGUUCUGCUUUACUCCUGGUAUUUAAAUGCUCUCUGAUUUUUCUUCUGCUUGGCUCUAACAUGCUUAGUUGAAGUUUGAUCCGAUUGCGUGAUAAUUUGAACCGAUUGGUGAAGAUUUUUGUAUCCUUAAGUUUAAAUGAACUCGAAAACAUACUGCCUCGCUAUUAAGGUUUUCAUCCUGUCCUUCUAUGCUUGUUGAUGAUAGCAUCAUAUUGAUUCACUUGAAGUUCUGUUUUGAUUACUGAACGCUGAAAGUUGAUUCAUGGUGGUUUAAGUUGAUUUUAUUCCUGUUAGUUUAGGCGUGGGAUGAGUAUUGGAAUUUCUCUGGUCUUGCUUGGGGUUCCCCAUUAGUCUUUUAAUUGUCUUUGUUAAGAAUUGAGUGCUCAAUCCAUAUCCUAGAAGCAUGUUCUGAAAUCACUGUUUGAAGCUAUCUUAUGUCACUAUGUUUCAUUGUUUGUGCUUGGGUGUAAGUUGUUGAACUCAUUUGAAGCAUGAUAGAUUCAUUGUCAAGCAGAGUAAGAUACUGAAUUAAAAACUGGAGACAAGAAGUUCAUGUGGCGGUAUUGCUUUAACCUUUAAAGUCAGCUUGUAGUUAGUGUCGUGCCUCGAUUGAUUUUGAUAGGAAAAAUGUUUUGGAUUCUUAUCCAUUUUUAAAAGUACCACGUUUAAGUGCCAUAAUCUUGAACAUUAAUCGGAUUGAUGAUUUCUUAUGCUUGGCAAUACAGUUUUCUUUUGGUUUCAAUUCAUUGCUAUUUCACUAUUCAGAUUCAAAAUAUUUGAGUCGAAAUCAUCUGGAUAAGAUUAACGUGUUAUCUGAUUUGCCUUGUCU
rnacentral:lncRNA from 1 species